rnacentral:rRNA from 1 species
AGUGAACGCUGGCGGUAGGCCUAACACAUGCCAGUCGAACGGCAGCACAGGAGAGCUUGCUCUCUAGGUGGCGAGUGGCGGACGGGUGAGGAAUACAUCGGAAUCUGCCCAGUCGUGGGGGAUAACGUAGGGAAACUUACGCUAAUACCGCAUACGACCUUCGGGUGAAAGAGGGGGAUCGCAAGACCUCUCGCGAUUGGAUGAGCCGAUGUCGGAUUAGCUAGUUAGCGGGGUAAUGGCCCACCAAGGCGACGAUCCGUAGCUGGUCUGAGAGGAUGAUAAGCCACACUGGAACUGAGACACGGUCCAGACUCCUACGGGAGGCAGCAGUGGGGAAUAUUGGACAAUGGGCGCAAGCCUGAUCCAGCCAUACCGCGUGGGUGAAGAAGGCCUUCGGGUUGUAAAGCCCUUUUGUUGGGAAAGAAAUCUUUCAGGCUAAUACCCUGGGAGGAUGACGGUACCCAAAGAAUAAGCACCGGCUAACUUCGUG